GAUGAACGCUGACAGAAUGCUUAACACAUGCAAGUCAACUUGAACUUCGGUUUGGGUGGCGGACGGGUGAGUAACGCGUAAAGAACUUGCCUCACAGAUAGGGACAACAUUUGGAAACGAAUGCUAAUACCUGAUAUUAUGAUUUUAGGGCAUCCUAGAAUUAUGAAAGCUAUAUGCGCUGUGAGAGAGCUUUGCGUCCCAUUAGCUAGUUGGAGAGGUAACAGCUCACCAAGGCGAUGAUGGGUAGCCGGCCUGAGAGGGUGAACGGCCACAAGGGGACUGAGACACGGCCCUUACUCCUACGGGAGGCAGCAGUGGGGAAUAUUGGACAAUGGACCGAGAGUCUGAUCCAGCAAUUCUGUGUGCACGACGAAGUUUUUCGGAAUGUAAAGUGCUUUCAGUUGGGAAGAAAGAAAUGACGGUACCAACAGAAGAAGUGACGGCUAAAUACGUGCCAGCAGCCGCGGUAAUACGUAUGUCACAAGCGUUAUCCGGAUUUAUUGGGCGUAAAGCGCGUCUAGGUGGUUAUGUAAGUCUGAUGUGAAAAUGCAGGGCUCAACUCUGUAUUGCGUUGGAAACUGUAUAACUAGAGUACUGGAGAGGUAAGCGGAACUACAAGUGUAGAGGUGAAAUUCGUAGAUAUUUGUAGGAAUGCCGAUGGGGAAGCCAGCUUACUGGACAGAUACUGACGCUAAAGCGCGAAAGCGUGGGUAGCAAACAGG
rnacentral:rRNA from 1 species